rnacentral:tRNA from 1 species
CGGGACGUAGCGCAGUCCGGUAGCGCACCUGAAUGGGGUUCAGGGGGUCGCGGGUUCAAAUCCCGCCGUCCCGAC